AUGGUAUACUACUGGAAAAAAUUUUUUGUGCUUAUGAAUUAGGCAGUUAAAGUGUAAAUAAAAUAUGUUUACUCGUUUGCAGUGGGCAAAGUCUAAUAUUCUAAAAAUGUUUAUAUCUAACUUAAUUCAGCCACGUUCGACAAAUACACACCUAUAUGUAGAUAUUUAGAUAUAUAAGUUAAUACCAAUUGAGUUAUUGCUCUUUUAAGUCCUAGGCAUUACUAGAAUAAUGGUAAAACGUUUCAUCAUCUAACGUCUGUUUCUAAUUCUUCAUUUUAGUACCUUGUCCGAAAUAUUAUAU